rnacentral:rRNA from 1 species
GAUGAACGCUAGCGGCAGGCUUAAUACAUGCAAGUCGAGGGGCAGCAGGUCUGUAGCAAUACAGAUGCUGGCGACCGGCAAACGGGUGCGGAACACGUACAGAACCUUCCUUCGAGCGGGGAAUAGCCCAGAGAAAUUUGGAUUAAUACCCCAUAGUAUACUGAAGAGGCAUCUCUUUGGUAUUAAAGAUUUAUCACUUGAAGAUGGCUGUGCGGCUGAUUAGGUAGUUGGCGGGGUAAAGGCCCACCAA